UCACCCCUCCCGCUCCGCCCUUUACUGAUCCUGCGCCUGUUAUGCAAGUUCAGCAACAGCGCCAGCUCAUUUAACACCUGUACGUAUGCACAUGGAAUUACAAAAGGACGCUAAACCACCUCCAUGCAGCUGAACCCUGGACAGCUUUACCCGACUACCCUCAUGCAGCUCUCAGGAGGGGAAGUAGAAGUACAAACUUCAUUCCUUCAUCAAAGACCACUAGAGGGCGUCAGCAGGAAACCAACUUCUGCAUCAUUGCACCAUCAUCAUUAAAGUUAUUUUUAAGUCAUUUUCAUUCAUUAAAGUUUUUAAGGAAUUUUA